UGCGGUUAAAAAGCUCGUAGUUGGAUUUCUGUCGAAGAUGAUCGGUCCGCUCUACGAGCGUGUAUCUGAUGCGCCUUUGGCAUCCUUGUGGAGAACGUAACUGUGCUUGACUGCAUGGCGCGGAAGUCACAACUUUUACUUUGAGGAAAUUAGAGUGUUCACGGCAGGCACGCGCCCUGAAUAUAUUAGCAUGGAAUAAUGAUGCAGGACUGUAGUUCUAUUUUGUUGGCUUCUAGGACUAGAGUAAUGAUUGAUAGGGAUAGCUGGGGGCACUUGUAUUAACGCGUCAGAGGUGAAAUUCUUGGAUUGCGCUACGACAAACUACUGCGAAGGCAUUUGUCAAGGAUGUUUUCAUUGAUCAAGAACGAAAGUAUGGGGAUCGAAGAUGAUUAGAUACCGUCGUAGUCUAUACCAUAAGCUAUGCCAACUAGAGAUUGGAGGUCGCUAUUUCCAUGGCUCCUUCAGCAUCUUAUGAGAAAUCAGAGUCUUUGGGUUCCGGGGGGAGUAUGGUCGCAAGGCUGAAACU
rnacentral:rRNA from 1 species